rnacentral:tRNA from 1 species
ACCGCGAUGGUCCAACGGCCAGGAUGCGAGGUUGUGGCCCUCGAGACGCGCGUUCGACUCGCGCUCGCGGUCCCA